AUCAAAUCAAGCCUUGAGGGGAAGUGCAGUUUGAUUGUAUUUUGAGAAACCAGAUUUGACAUGUUCAUCAGAUGCCUUUCUUUCCCUUCAUCAUACAGGCAUAUUCCAGAGAGGCUGGCCAGAGGGUUCAAAGGAUUUGGCCAUAUCCUGGCUCCCAAGUAGUGGCUGAUCACUGUGGAGAAGUGAUCAGCCCAUAUUGAUCUGGUGAUAGCCUAUACUGUCUAUACUGAUUGGUGCUAAAAUGCAUAGAAGCUUAUUAUAUUCUUGAAUGGAUGGAUUGGUUGAUACUAUUGGGGCAGAACUUCCCCUCCUCCACAGCAAGCGAGGCUGAUCUUCUCCCAAACAUUUCUCCUUAGGUGCGCUGUGGCGCCUUUGCGAUGAUGUAUUACAUUCUCUUGGGACUUUUUCCUGAUUUCAUCUGUGAGCAAAUACUAGCAGGUGAUGCAGAGCUGUGGAGUUAGAAAAGGCUCGAGAAGUUUUCCUGAGCAAGUUUGGGGAAAGAGCCCUGAUGACUGGAAGACCAAGGUGUCAGCAAUAAGACUGGGAGAUACCCAACUGAAGGUGAGGGCUCUGUCUGAAAAACUCUGGGGAUUGAGCAGAUGGCAGGAUAGUUGCCAGAUAUGGUGUGGGCCAGACAGCUAAUAGAACCACAGUUUGAGCCCAGAGCAAUCUGUUUCACCUGUGCUUUUCCAGCUCUAACCAAGUGUCUCUUCCUACAUGAUUGUUGGCCUGACAUCUAGGGAUUGAAAGCAUAACUCUGUUUUCUUGCAUCCUACAAACUAGAUAAAAGAAAGAUGGGGGGGGGGGGGCGGGUGGAGGUAGGGGAGGAGGUCUGUUAAAGAUUGGCACACUAAAAUUGAGAUAGUUUACCUUUGGCCAAGCCCCCUUCCAGAGCCCCAGAGAUCACACUCCCUAGCAAUUCUGAGCAAGGAGAAAAAGAGCUGACACAAGACUCUGCAGAAUGUCCAUCCAGCAGGGCUUCCCGUACACUGACACCCUGGGGUUAUUAUUGCUUUGGGUAUAUGAGAUCACUCUGAAUGGAAUGCCUCAUUAUAGGUUUAAACCCAAGCUAUAAAUCAAACAUUUCUCCUUUAAUAUAAGGAAGUUUCAGAUUAUUUUCAAGAACACCUGGUGCAAAGUGAGGUAAUCUUAUAUGGUAAGGAGGAUGAAUAACUUAAACCACAUUCUCAUAAAUUUCUUUAACCUGGAAGAAAGCCUUUAAGGCUAUCUGCAUACAUGAUGUGUCUGAUUUUUCCUUGAAUAAUGUGUGAAGCGUUUUAAACAGACCAGCAAAUCUGCAGAGUUCUAAACCCUCCCUCAGAAUCUGCCUUGCUUUCUGCAUGUAGACAAGUAUCGAAAAUUACUGAGGAUUGCUUUCUUAAUUUGACUAAAUGUUCUUUUUUUUUCUCCAUCCAGAAAGAUCUUGUUGACAAUUAUUUCUUCAUUCUGCAUCCCAAACUUCCAGUUUGCAGAGGUAGAAAAAUCAAUGUGAAUAGCUUAGUGCUGACAAAUGAGGCUCAAAUUACCAAUACUUGUAGUCAACAUGGCAAAGAUUUUCAUCCAGUUAACUCUACUGUUUUCUUUUUUUAAAGGUGUUGGCAUAGGUGGACUUAAUUAUUAUUCAUAACUAUAUCUGUAAGCACUGUUUUCCUCUGCUUUGCCUUCCAAAUGUUCUACUGAUUUUAAAAUGAAAUUAUUUCAAGACUAGAAUCAACAAAUUUUUAUUUAUUUUUUUUAAAGAUUUUAUUUAUUUAUUCGUGAGAGACACACAGAGAGAGAGAGAGAGGCAGAGACACAGGCAGAGGGAGAAGCAGGCUCCAUGCAGGGAGCCCAACGUGGGACUCGAUCCCAGGUCUCCAGGAUCAUGCUGAAGGCAGGCGCUAAACCGCUGAGCCACCAGGGCUGCCCUCAACAACUUUUUAAUAUAAGAUUCUCUAGGUUUACCAAAUAAGGACAUCUUCCUUUUAGAUUUUGUGUUCUCUUCUUGGAUCAAAUAAUGAAGAGUUGGAGAAGCAUCCCUCAGUGGACACUAAGGACUAGAUAAUAGUCUUUUCAAUAAAACCAUAACAUUCUAACCCUGGAUUUGACUCUAU
rnacentral:lncRNA from 1 species